GAAUCUAGUGAUUAUGGUGUGUUCUUUUAUACGUGGCUUGGAUAGGAGGCACUCAAUACGCAUGGGUAAAUUGCCAACCGAAACAGUGUAGUUUGUGAAUGGGAGUAGUUCCAUAUGACACCGUAAGAGGGCAUUGCCAGACGACGUGUUGAGAUUGUGUUUAGGGUAUCCACAAUUGCACGCAGGAUUGUUUACAACUCUGAUUUUGUGUAGUGAUUUAUUUAGGUUGAAAUGACUCGAUCGUGCUCUGGAGAUCCAUUAAGUGAAGAGCCUUGAUAGCGGGAGAUUAUGAAACCAAGUUGUAAACGUUCAGUUAAUUCAUUAAAAGUUCCUCAAAGAGGCAAGUGAAGUGUAAGACUGCUACGUAGGUAUCGUGUACGGUCCACGCUAUAUCAACGGCUAAUGACAAAACAGAGUUGGCGCAAAAAAAGGACGAACGCCGUUAACCGAAAAACGGAGCAGAUUAUUAGUGGGAUCGUGUCAGAGGACAACGCAGGCUGAGAGAGAUUGUGUAAUUCGUGUUGCAUGCAAUAAAGUCUGUAUUAUAUGUGCGCAGAAGAUCCUUUUCGAAGUCUCAUAUUAAUCAAGUCUUAUCAGCGAUAAGACUAAAUUCAGGUAUACAAUUCUCAAUUUAGAUUAGACAGUUCUAUCAUUUGCAUCAGGCAUUCUAAGUAAUCCUCCAGAAAAAAGGAGAAUAGGAAAUAUUAAAAACGAGAAUCAUUACCUCUUUUGAUGAGUCAACUAAAUUAAAGUUAAGAAGACUUUUGAGAAGAACCGAAAUUGCUGAUGAAAAACCAUCAAAUUUUCUAUAACCUUCAAGGAAUUUAGCAGAAGGACUUUGCAAUGAAAGUGUAUUGAGAACAAUAUUUUUGGAAUAAAUACCCAAUCAAGUGAGAGGAAUUCUGGCUAUAAAAGAAGUUAAAGAUCCAUUCAAAUUAGUUCUUCAAGUUGAUAAAAUUGUUGAAGUAUUGAGACCAACAAUUUUGGUGGUACACAUGGUUCAAAGUUCUGAUAACAAAAAUAAAUUAAAUAAAUUUCACGAAGACCAAUUAAAUGAAUUAAGACACAUGAUAGAACAUCGAAGUCAAAAGGAAUCAGUUUAGAGGGAGAUCACAAUCAAGAUGCAAUUUCAAAAGAAAUAGAUUCAGAAGUCGAUUGAUAUUUCAAAAAGAAAAUCCAUCAUUUUGUUUAUACUAUUGAAAGUUUGGAGGAAAAUAAUUUCAAUGUAAACAAUCAUGUUGCCGGACUGAAAAAGAUAGAAGAAAGGAGCAAACUGAUUUGGAAAACUAAAUGUGCUAUCAGAAGUAUAGGAGACUUACAAUGGCAUCAAAUUCGAUCAUCUUCUAAUCAUUUUGGACAAAACAACAGGUAUAAAAUACUUAAUUGAUAAUGGAGCUAAUAUUUUAAUUAUUUAGAGGAAAUUCAUUAAAGAAAAUCAUUUGCCAUCAAAUUUAAUGUUAUAUGCAACAAAUGGGUCGAUUAUUAAAACAUACGACUAAAAAUUAAUAACAGCAAACCUAGAACUUCGAUAAUCCUUGAGUUGGAAAUUUUUAAUAGCUGAUACAAAUCAUUCAAUUAUUGGUGCAGAUUUUCUAAGCCGUUAUAAACUUGUGGUAGAUUUACGUGGCAGAAGAAUUAUUGAUGGAAAUACCAAAUUAAAUAGUUUCGGACAUAUUAAAUAUAUAAAUACAGUAUCAGCAAUUUCCAUGGUAAAUUCAUCACAUAAACAUAAUAAAUUAUUACAAGAAUUUAUAGAUAUUAUAAAACCAGUUAGGAAAGAGUUUUUAAAUAAAGUUGAAAUUAUAUUAUAACGACUGGUCAACCAAUUGCCAAAAAAACUAGAAGAUUAAGUCCUGAAAAAUUUUAAAUUGCCAAAGCAGAGUUUGAGGAUAUGAUAAGAAAAGGGAUUUGUAGACCUCUGAGUCAAUGGGCAAGUCCAUUGCACAUGGUCCUGAAGAAGAAUGGAGAAUGGCGUCUAUGUGGAGAUUAUAGAAGAUUAAACUCAAUCAUUGUUCCAGAAAAGUAUCCAGUUCCCCAUAUUCAAGAUUUUGCUCGCAAAUUAUUAGAUUUUAAAAUCUUUGUUGGCGUUCCGAAGAUAGCCGUUAUUAUCCUUUUUGGAUUAUUUGAAUUUUCUGCAAUGCCAUUUGGUCUUUAUAAUAGCAUCGAAAGACGAAGAGAAACAUAAGAAACAUUUAAGAACCAUUUAUUCAGGAAUAAAGUUUUUUAGAUGUAUGGUAGAAGGUCAAAAUUUAAUUAUGAAAACAGAUCAUAAACCAUUAACUUUUGCAUUUAAACAAAAAUUAUCAAAAGCUUCGUCCAGAUAACUUCGUUAUUUAGAUUUUAUUGGACAAUUCACUAUAAAUAUAGUAUUUGUUAAAGGAGAGAAUAACAUCGUUGCUAAUUUCUUUUCAAGAAUUGAAUCAACAGAUAUACUAAUUAACAUUAAUAUUUAAGAUUUAGCUUUAGGUCAACAAGAAGAUGAAGAGUUAAAAUAACUUAUCGAGGACAAAAAUUCUUCAUUGUAAUUAUAGAAAUUAAGAGUUGGGAAUGAAAAUCAAAUUUUAUAUUGCAAUAUUGAAAAUGAAAACAU